rnacentral:rRNA from 1 species
UUACCGAGUUUUCACUCCCUAACCCUUCUGUGAACCUACCUAUCGUUGCUUCGGCGGACUCGCCCCAGCCCGGACGCGGACUGGACCAGCGGCCCGCCGGGGACCUCAAACUCUUGUAUUCCAGCAUCUUCUGAAUACGCCGCAAGGCAAAACAAAUGAAUCAAAACUUUCAACAACGGAUCUCUUGGCUCUGGCAUCGAUGAAGAACGCAGCGAAACGCGAUAAGUAAUGUGAAUUGCAGAAUCCAGUGAAUCAUCGAAUCUUUGAACGCACAUUGCGCCCGCCAGCAUUCUGGCGGGCAUGCCUGUUCGAGCGUCAUUUCAACCCUCGACCUCCCCUUGGGGAGGUCGGCGUUGGGGACCGGCAGCACACUCGCCGGCCCUGAAAUGGAGUGGCGGCCCGUCCGCGGCGACCUCUGCGCAGUAAUACAGCUCGCACCGGGACCCCGACGCGGCCACGCCGUAAAACACCCAACUUCUGAACGUUGACCUCGAAUCAGGUAGGACUACCCGCUGAACUUAAGCAUA